UGCUGCGGCUCCUGAAAUCCUCGGGUGUGAAGUUCUCCCAGGGCUGUUGAUGCUUCAUCUACUCUUCUGGCAGUGGGGGCCUGGACCUUAGUUACCCGGGGAGCUCACACCAGAAGAGGGCAUUGGAUCCCACUAUAGACUGUUGUGAGCCACCUUGUGGUUGCUGGGAAUUGAACUCAGGACCUCUGGAAGAGCAGUUGGUGCUCUUAACUGCUGAGUCAUCUCUCCAGCCCCAGGUGUUCUGCCCAGUUUAUAGAACAAGGAAUUGAAGCUUGGAGAAGAUUGAUGGACCACUCAAGUUCCCUGGAUGGUCCAGGAUGCAGACUGAGGAUGGCCUAAAACAUUAGUUUUGCUGGCUCCCUGUGCUUGGCUAACUUUAGAGCCUCUUACCUUGCCACAGUCUUUUCUAUGAAGGACAGAGAGCCAAGGAGUGGACCAACAUGCCUGAGUUUACACAGUGGACCUGAGGACCGUCACCUCCCAGUGCAAUGUUCCUGUGUACU
ensembl:antisense 4933431E20Rik RIKEN cDNA 4933431E20 gene